GUGUAAUGGAUGAAAGUCCUUUAGCUGACCAGUACUAAUAGAGCGUUUGGCUUAUCUUUAAUAAAGCAU
rnacentral:rRNA from 2 species